rnacentral:lncRNA from 1 species
UUCACCAAUACUAAACCCAUAGCCUUUUAUAAUCCCUAAUUAAAACCUAAUGAGACACACAAAGAAUAAGAGGGGGAGGAACAGACAGAAAGAGAAAAGGGCGAAAGGAAAAAAGCAGACGUCUCCUUAUUCUUCUUUAAGCAAAUCACAGCAGCCAUAUACGAUUCAGAUACCAUUUUUCUUCAUAAUUUCACCAUGUAUAGCACAAUGAAACAGAGGGGUUUUGGGGGAUUCAAUUUCCCCCUGAAAGCUUACUGCUUACCCUUAAACCAACAUCAUCAAACAAACAUGAUUGUCGUCUACCUUUAUUUCUUCAUCUUUGUUGAAUUAUCGGCAAUCCACCAAGCCCCAUAACCAUCGCCGAAGAUUUCCGUCAUAACUUCAUCCCAACGUCGAAAAUAAUCGAGCUCCCCUAUCCUUCACCAAAUCUCUAUUCAUUCUCUUUGAAUUACCGAGUUCUACCAAAUUCAGUUGAGGUUUCCCAUCAAGGUCGAGUUCUAUUUCUGGUCAAGAGGUAGUGUGUUCGUGAUUUUCAGUACGGCAAGGUGUCCUAUUCGCUGGUCUUAGUCAGUAGAGUUCCGUCAAGGUCUUCGAUCUUCGCUCAAUUCCUGGACAGAGUCCAUUCUUUUAUAGCUUUUGGGUUGGAAGCACUUUGAAAGUUCCAUUAAUUUCCCUAAUAAUAUUUUCUCUUAAUGCUACGCUUUUAUCACAUUUGAUAAUCUGAAGCUUCUUGAUGUUUGAUUAUUAGAUGAGAUAUAUCUUCACUUAGUAACUACUUUGAUUGUUUAAUUUGGAUAAAUCAUCCAUUGUUUGUACAGAACCUAACCUAAAAUUAUGGUGGUAUUAUUCAUUAAUUAAGCUGAAUCAAUUGGUCUAUAAGAAAUGGAUCAUGGGAUUGGUUUAUAA